ensembl:lncRNA
CUGCCUUAUGGGAGUGGUUAGUGACUCCUCUUGCACACCGUCACAAUCACCUAUGUGACCCUUCGUACUCAAAAAUCAAAUUAGCACAAAGAUCAGAAGAUUGCAUCUGAAAAAGUGAGUGGAGUGGUGAGUGCACUACAGCUGGAGCAACAUAAAACGAAUCAAAUAGAGAAAGAAGAAAUGAAAUAGAGGAAUAGGGAAGAAAAACAAGCUUUUGAUCAAAGCAAUUAGCUUGCAAGACCAUUUUGUUUCUCCACAGAAAGUCCAAAGACAGAUGCGUCCAAAAUAUAGCGCUUGUGAAAAAAAAACUCUGAGCCCCGCUGCCCGAAAGAAAAUCGUGUCUCACCGUUGGCCGUGGUCUCAGAGAAAGCGGGUUGAAGUAUUACGCUGGCUCCAGCGGGGUGAUUUAGACUGUGCUUGUACAUAGACGCAGGGCUACUUGAGUCUCAGCGCUAUACGCGGGUCAUUCAUUCACAGCCACCCCUUUCAAUAUCUGACACCUUACUCUAAGAAGACUGACGCAGCCUCCAGCCAAAGAAACAGAAUGGACUGGACACAGAGCCGGACUGCUUCGUAAUUGUAUCGAUUCAGACUCGCAACUCUGUACUGUAUGUCGCAACGAAUUGCACGUGAACAUCAGUUCGGUGCGGGCCAUUACUGUAGGAUCUCAUGAAUUUCUUAUUCCCCAUAGACCUGUUAAAUCAAUGCAUUGCUCAUUCACACGGAUAGCAAAGCUAGACUAGUACCGUAGUCUGGAUGUUUAAUGGUCUGGAUUGCACAGUGUAGGUCCACAGUGUAUUCCCCUGUGAGAUGUAUUCUCCUAGAUGAGUACAGUUGAUGGUGGCUGCAGGUUCCAUUGUGAUUCAGGUUGGUCCUGCCCACGUUCCAGACAACCAGCCAGGGAGACACAUCGCUGGCCAUUGUGGAUUGCAUCCUGGCCCCUACAGGAGACACAUCGCUGGCCAUUGUGGAUUGCAUCCUGGCCCUCCUGAGGCCUCUACAGGAGACACAUCGCUGGCCAUUGUGGAUUGCAUCCUGGCCCUCCUGAGGCCUCUACAGGAGACACAUCGCUGGCCAUUGUGGAUUGCAUCCUGGCCCUCCUGAGGCGUCUACAGGGGUGUAAAUGAACAAGGAUCCUUUUCUUGCACUGGAUCCUGAUGUCCCAGUGCCUUCAAACCUGGGGGCUUCAACUUCAAGUGCAGACGGUGCUUUUUCAUCGGCCCCUCUUCGUGUCUGAGCAUGAAACGAUGGUGGGUUUGUGUAUUCCAGCCAUUUGUAAGAGGGAUAAAUCGGAGGAACCUUUGGUGGGCUAGACCAGUGCUGACGACUUUAACUCAGAAAGCAGACUGGUGUCGUAAUGUGAGGUUCUGCGGUCAGAACUUUGCGAGUCCCGGGUAAAGGCAAACUUUUUUCGAUCUGCUGAGGUCAUGUAUUCAAUUGGAAUUUUGCCAACAGUAAAGAAACAGGUAUUUGAUCAAUUGUAAUGGAAUAUGGAAUAAACGGAAUAAACUUCAG